AUAAAAAAAAUAAAAUAAAUAUGUUCAUUUGUAUUUAUUUACCUCUUCUUGAAGGAGGGAAGCUUUUUCUAAUUUUCAUCAAAGCACCAAAUGGACUAGAGGUAUUUUGGGUGCUGUAAUUAAUUAGCUUUAUUCACAUUUUUCGUUCCUUUUACAAAUACGUAUUGAGGGUCUUUUAUGAGUCCAAACAAUAAAUUUGGAAGUGGUGUGAAAGAUGGAGUAGGUGGAGCUUACAACAUAGGCAAGAAGAGAAGUUAAAAGUUAUCACAGAGUCUAAGUGGAUGGGAGGAGAGACACAAUGAGAAUAAAGAGAGGAUGAUAUUCCCCAGACAGCUGAGAGCUAGAUUUGACAGCCCUUGAUGAUUAUUUGAAUGGACAUAUGGUUAGGAAGAUGUACAGGGAAGGCAAGGGAUGAAAGAGAAAAAUGUCAGGGAUGACUGAGAUUCCAAUUUACUGUUUGGGGUCUCUGGGGAGAUGAAUGCAAAUCAAGGAAAACCAGAUUUAAUGGGUAAAGGAAUAACAUAAUUUCAUUUUUAUACAUAUUGUGCUUGUAUAUGUAUUGCAUACAUAUUUAUAUUGGCACGUGUGUGUGUUUUAGUAUAAUUAAGGUACGUGCUUUCUGUACAUUUAACACUAUAAUUGGGAUAUAAAAACUAUUUGAUAAAUACUGAUGAAUUUAUUAAAUGUCAUGAAUUUUUACAUUACAUGUUGUUAUGAGUAAUUUCUGAAUACCUGUUCUUUUUAUUUUCACAGAUUUUUUUGUGCAGAGAAGUUAUGUGUAUCAUCUCUGGGGUCUCUAUGUAAAUAAUAUACAAAACCCUGUAACUCAAGGCCUUACAUUAACAAAAAAUACUAAAAACUCAUUAAAAAUGAAACCUGAGGGAAGUUCCCCAAUCACUCCUGGUGCUGGCCUGAAAAGGGGAUUGGGAAUAAAGAGGAAUGAAAAGGAAAGGCCACAUCUGUGUCACAAUUCCCUAACUCCGGGACCAGGAAUGGGGUGGGGGAGAAGCUGCCUUUUGCUGCCAUUGCUGCCAGUGCUGCUGCUGCCACCAGACAUGGUCCUGUUGCUGCUGUUUCUGCUGCUGCUUUUGCUCAGCUUGCAGGUAGUAAAUGCUGCCAGGACUGGAUCCUUCCCUUCAAGACGUUGGGUUUCCUGCUGGUCCAGGGUGUACCUACAAAUGUCAUCUGGGAUCUAGGACCUGGAAUGGAGGCCUCACGACUCUGAACAGUGUCCUAUCCUGCUGUGUCUGAGCUGCUAUCCAAGAUGCAAGACAAAGUCCUCCUCAUUCUUCCCUCUCCUCUCUUCAAGUUAAAGGAAGAGGUCUUCCUUGAGCAACAAGUUGUACAGCCUCAUUUUUGGUACUUAUGAAGAUAUUUUUUCUGUGCAGAUAGUUGUUAAAUUGGUGUCCUUGUGAGGGGUGGUUGAAGGUGGGACAAGCACUGGAGCCUUCUAUUCCACACCUUAUUCUGCCUCUUGACUUCCCAGAGGAAUUAAUCUUGAAGCUAAAACCUAAAUAAUGUAUAAGAAUUAAUUAAAUGAUGAACAAAUUGGGGAUUGUUUCCUGUUCUAGAGGGAAAUAAUUCAUGGGAACAUGUGAUAACCUGACAUAUAAGAAUAAAUUAAAUGAUGAACAAAUUGGGGAUGGUUUCCUGUUCUAGAGGGAAAUAAUUCAUGGGAACAUGUGAUAACCUGACAUAAAAAAGAGAUUGGUGCAAAUGAGGAAUUAAAUUUUGGCUGAAGAAUCAAGAACUCGCU
ensembl:lncRNA